CGUCUCAAAACCACUCUCAAUACUACUAAGUUUAACAGAUCCCAUAGCUUCUCCACUUUCCUCGCUAAAUCCUCUGUGAUCAUUGUAGAUUUCGAAACAUCUUCAUUGUAUUCUUCUCGGAAUUCACGUUGAUAACGAGAGCUAUCUCCGCAGCUAAGGGCGUCGAUGAUGAUUAUGCACAAUGACGAGAGUACUCUAUGGUGCAAAGAACCGUUUUCUGAGAACCAGUAACAUUUUAGGCUUGAAAGUUUGGAGAGUACUUGAAGACAAGAAUUAGGAACAUCAACAAUACCAACAAUAGGCUUAUUAAUCGUGCAAAAGGGGAAAUUAGCAGCUUAUUAGCCUUUCCACUAGAUCGAACAUGCCCUUAUACGACAAUUUG